rnacentral:lncRNA from 1 species
UGAACGGCGUCGUGGUUUCGGCGUGAACGAAGGCGGUUCGUGGAUUCGGAUUGUGGGCUCGUGGAUUCGAGUGUCGUCGUGGAUUCGGCGUGAUCAAGCCUUUGUGGAUUCGAAGUGUGGGCGUUUCGUGGAUUCGGAACGUGGCGUUCGUGGAGUCGAACGUUGGGCGUGGACAACCCGUUGGUGUGCGCGAGGUCUGGAGAAGAUAGAAAAGAGGUUUUAGUCCGUGGAUUCGGCAAAU